rnacentral:rRNA from 1 species
GCACGGGUGAGUACACGUGAAUUAUCUACCUUCGAGUGGGGAAUAACUGAGAGAAAUCUUAGCUAAUACCGCAUAAUACCUACGGGUCAAAGCAGCAAUGCGCUUGGGGAGGAGGUCGCGGCCGAUUAGCUAGUUGGCGGGGUAAUGGCCCACCAAGGCGAUGAUCGGUAUCCGGCCUGAGAGGGCGCACGGACACACUGGAACUGAAACACGGUCCAGACUCCUACGGGAGGCAGCAGUGGGGAAUUUUGCGCAAUGGGGGAAACCCUGACGCAGCAACGCCGCGUGGAGGAUGAAGUAUCUUGGUACGUAAACUCCUUUCGAUGGGGAAGAUAAUGACGGUACCCAUAGAAGAAGCCCCCGGCUAACUUCGUGCCAGCAGCCCGCGGUUAAUACGAGGGGGGCAAGCAGUGGUUCGGAAUUAUUGGGCGUAAAGGGUGGCGUAGGCGGUUUGACAAGUCUUAUGUGAAAUCUAUGGGCUCAACCCAUAGUCUGCAUGGGAAACUGUCGGGCUUGAGUAUUGGGAGAGGUGAGUGGAAUUUCCGGUGUAACGGUGAAAUGCGUAGAUCUCGGGAAGGGAACACCCUGUU